UGGCUCAGUUGGUAGAGCAUGGUGUUUGCAACGCCAAGGUUGUGGCUUCGAUUCCCAC
rfam:Salmo salar isolate Sally breed double haploid chromosome ssa19, whole genome shotgun sequence.